rnacentral:lncRNA from 1 species
GGAAAUAAAAUGUCAAUACUAUUUUUGUAUUUUUUUAUGAAAGGCAGAUAAACUGAAAAUAACUAGAUAAAAUAUUAAUUAGCUAAAUAAAAGAAAAACAUUUUUGUAAUUUUUAUUUUUAUGAUAAAAUAAAGUAAAAGAGUCAAAACUAGUUAAAAUAGCAAUAUUUGACUUAAUCUAAAUAUUUAAAUGCUAAAUGUGUAAAAUCUCGAGAAGGGUAAAAAAUUACAUGUCUACAACUGUCCCUCUUUGACUGGAAACACAAAGAGUUUUCAGACAUAGAACGACGAGACAGGUUUUUUGACCCGACCCUUAUUUAGAGAGAUUAAAAACUAAAAAAAAGAGAAUGUGACCGAGCCCUAGUAUCUGAGCUGCCUACAUAUCCUUGGCUAUAAAGGAAUCAUGCCACGUGUAGUUCAGAAGUGAAUGAGGUGAUGGAGUGUACCGAGGUGGAGAGCUGAGUGAGGUUUCGUUCCGCCGAGGUUCCGGCCCGCGGUCCUGUUAUUACAUCAAAAUCAAAAAUGAAAAAGACUAACUAAGCCUAUCAGAUACGAGUUACAAGAUUCCUAUCUAUGAGCCUUCUGAAGCUUGAUCUUGAGUCUUGGUUGAUUCUUCAUGCGGACUCUGGUCUGAAUCUUGACGCUUGUUAGCUGUAGGUGUUGGUUCAAUCUUCUUCAGCUUUUUCAGAUCAAGACGGGACAUGUAGAGCUUGUGACUUCAAUUAUGUCUUGAGCAGUCCACAUCUUUUCUCUACUUCUGCACUUUGGAUUAACUUUUCUUUUUUUUUCUUUUAUUCUUGAUUGAGACUUUUUUUUGGUUAUCUCGGACUGUCGACUCGCAUUUUUGAGGCGAGCUUCCACUACUUCUAUCUUGAAUUGAAUUCUGAAAUGACUUCCCUUGUUCUCUAGGUGGUCGCCUGCUACUGAAUUGAAAUUUGAAGUGAUUCUGAAAUGAAUUCCCUUGUUCUCCAGGUGGGCGCCUUCCUACUACAACAAAACAGACAAAACAAAAGAAACUUUUCUGCCCCAGUUUGCACUAGGAAGAUUUGUGAGUUGUUAGUGAAACUAUAAAUCACCUACGCUACUGAUGAAGGAUGCAAUAAUAAGAGUAAAAUUAAUGACUCGACUAGGAUGUGCGUCUCCUAAAAAUGAUUGAGCUUGUGCAACUAUAAACUAAGCUUGACUAAAGUAAAGACUAACCCUAUUCUCCAGGCGGGGCCCUUGAUUUCAAGAAAACUAAAUAUUGAUAACGUAAGAAAACUAAAAAUUGACCUUUUUUUUUCAAAUUCAGACUUCCCCCUUUUAAAAAAAAAAUAUUAUCCUAGGAGAAAAUUCAUUGGACUGAGUUUUCUAUCUUAGGAGAAAGAUUCAUCAGACUAAGAUUUUGAUUCUAGGAGAAAGUUCAUCAGAUUAGGUCUCUUUUCUUCUUAUUUUUGGUAUCUUAGGAAAAAGAUUCAUCAGACUAAGAUUUUGAUCCUAGGAGAAAGUUCCUCAGACUAGGUCUCUUUCUGGUAUCUUAGGCGAAAGAUUCAUUAGACUAAGAUUUUAAUCCUUGGAGAAAGAUUCAUCAGACUAGGUUUUCUAUCUUAGGAGAAAGAUUCAUCAGACUAAGAUUUCGAUCCUAGGAGAAAAUUCAUUAAACUAGGUCACUUUUUUGUUACCUUAGGAGAAAGAUUCAUCAGACUAGGUUUUCUAUCUUAGGAGAAAAAUUCAUCAGACUAAGAUUUCGAUCCUAGGAGAAAAUUCAUCACACUAGGUCCAUUUCUUUUGUUAACUUAUGAGAAAGAUUCAUCACACUAAGACUUUGAUCCUAGGAGAAAAUUCAUCAAACUAGGUCAUUUUUUUUGUUAUCUUAGGAGAAAGAUUCAUCAGNNNNNNNNNNNNNNNNNNNNNNNNNNNNNNNNNNNNNNNNNNNNNNNNNNNNNNNNNNGAUCCUAGGAGAAAAUUCAUCACACUAGGUCCAUUUCUUUUGUUAACUUAUGAGAAAGAUUCAUCACACUAAGACUUUGAUCCUAGGAGAAAAUUCAUCAAACUAGGUCAUUUUUUUUUGUUAUCUUAGGAGAAAGAUUCAUCAGACUAAGAUUUUGAUCCUAGGAGAAAGUUUAUCAGACUAGGUUUCUUUUCCUUCUUUUUUUGUAUCUUAGGAGAAAGAUUCAUCAGACUAAGAUUUCUAUCAUAUGAGAAAGUUCAUCAGACUAGAUUUUCUAUCUUAGGAGACAGACUCAUCAGACUAAGAUUUUUAUUAGGAGGAAAAUCCAUCAGACUAGGACUUUUUAUCCUAGGAGAAAAAAAAAUGGGAAGAUCAACGACGAGAUUUUAUGCACAAUAGCAAGGCAAAUAAAGGCAAAGAUUUGAGAAACUUCCCUUUGUCGGCUCUUCUCCUCUUUUUUUUGAACCACUUUCCUUGCACUGCUUUGUUCCUGUUUAAACAAAGAAAAUUUUUGUCAGAUUCAAAAGUGGUGGUUGGCUUGUGGCCUUGAGUCUUGAGCAGCUUGGCUUUUGCUCGAUCAGCCUGAGUCGAUCUCAAGAAACUUUUGUUCUGCACCACCUCUGAUUGUUUCACACCCAGUACCAUUUGUAUUUGUAACUCAAAUAGCCUUAUCCCAACUGGAGAUCUUUGCUUAGGUGACCUUUUUUGAUAUCUUGAAUGACUUCCUGCUUUUGAGUAAUUUGUUUGUUAGAGAGAAUCACCAGUUAUCUUUGCUUGCGCCAAAUAGGCUGACAAGAAUCUUUUGCGGGAGGCUUUUCUUGAAUCCUCAAGGCACAUUGACAGUAACAACCGAGUGUGCUGGCCAAAUUUACUUUGUGCAACUGAAAAUCUGGUAGCAGAUUUUGAAAUCUUUUCUUGCUUGUUUUGACAAGGACUGACUCGGAGUGAAGGACACAAUGAUGCAAAGAAACAAGUAUUAACAAGAAAUGCCCAUGUCGGAAGGACAGAAGGAAGAGUUUUUUUUCCUUUUCUAUUUUUUUCUUUGUUUUUUUCCCAAUAACUAGCCUUAAUAGUCAUGACAUGUAUUUUGGACUCAAUGGCCUGAUCUAUCAAACUAAUCCAAUUUUCCCUUUUGCCAUUCUUAUGACCUUUGAAGUCGGGCUUGUUUGUGUCAAUCUUUCGCAUUAUCUUCACGACUCACUUUCGACUAGUGGUGCCCCGAGGGAUUUUCACCAAUAAAUCUCUUUCAUUUGUUCAUCUCUGCUUACUGUCGUCUUACAAUGCCCGUGAGAGUUUUCACUAGUAAGACUCUCUCAUUUUUUUUCUUUUUCUCCAUUGAUUUCUUGAGCAACUUAACAGUAUUCUAUGUCGUGUGACAACCAUUGCUCAUUGCAUGCUUCUCUUUGCAUUUUUUGAAGUCAUAUCGGGAGGUCGUUAUUUGGAAUGAUUUUGGAUAGGGUUGAAAAGAAAGGACGUUAUGAUGACUCGAAAUAGACUCAAAAUAAAAGGGGGUUAUAGACUUACAACUUCUUGGAAUCGACUCUUUCAAAAGUGAAAUAAAAUCUUUGCCCCAGUUUCAGCUAUUGGGGAUUUUUUGGAAUUUUUUUUUGAAUUCUUAUUUGGUUAGACCGAACCGUGAAGCUUCCUACGUAUCCUUUUUUAAAGAAUCAGGUCGAACGUAGUUCAAACAUCUGACCUAACUAUUUUUUUUUCAUNNNNN